rnacentral:rRNA from 1 species
UUUUUAAAGGUUGACCUCGAAUCAGGUAGGGAUACCCGCUGAACUUAAGCAUAUCAAUAAGCGGAGGAA